rnacentral:rRNA from 1 species
AUGCAAGUCGAGCGAACCCUUCGGGGUGAGCGGCGGACGGGUGAGUAACGCGUGGGUAACCUGCCCUGUACACACGGAUAACAUACCGAAAGGUAUGCUAAUACGAGAUAAUAUAUUUUAAUCGCAUGGUUAAGAUAUCAAAGCUCCGGCGGUACAGGAUGGACCCGCGUCUGAUUAGCUAGUUGGUGAGGUAAUGGCUCACCAAGGCGACGAUCAGUAGCCGACCUGAGAGGGUGAUCGGCCACACUGGAACUGAGACACGGUCCAGACUCCUACGGGAGGCAGCAGUGGGGAAUAUUGCACAAUGGGCGAAAGCCUGAUGCAGCAACGCCGCGUGAGUGAUGAAGGCCUUCGGGUCGUAAAGCUCUGUCCUCAAGGAAGAUAAUGACGGUACUUGAGGAGGAAGCCCCGGCUAACUACGUGCCAGCAGCCGCGGUAAUACGUAGGGGGCUAGCGUUAUCCGGAAUUACUGGGCGUAAAGGGUGCGUAGGCGGUCUUUCAAGCCAGAAGUGAAAGGCUACGGCUCAACCGUAGUAAGCUUUUGGAACUGUAAGACUUGAGUGCAGGAGAGGAGAGUGGAAUUCCUAGUGUAGCGGUGAAAUGCGUAGAUAUUAGGAGGAACACCAGUAGCGAAGGCGGCUCUCUAGACUGUAACUGACGCUGAGGCACGAAAGCGUGGGGAGCAAACAGGAUUCGAUACCCUGGUAGUCCACGCCGUAAACGAUGAGUACUAGGUGUCG